AUUGAACGCUGGCGGCAGGCCUAACACAUGCAAGUCGAGCGGAUGAAGGGAGCUUGCUCCUGGAUUCAGCGGCGGACGGGUGAGUAAUGCCUAGGAAUCUGCCUGGUAGUGGGGGAUAACGUCCGGAAACGGGCGCUAAUACCGCAUACGUCCUGAGGGAGAAAGUGGGGGAUCUUCGGACCUCACGCUAUCAGAUGAGCCUAGGUCGGAUUAGCUAGUUGGUGGGGUAAAGGCCUACCAAGGCGACGAUCCGUAACUGGCCUGAGAGGAUGAUCAGACACACUGGAACUGAGACACGGUCCAGACUCCUACGGGAGGCAGCAGUGGGGAAUAUUGGACAAUGGGCGAAAGCCUGAUCCAGCCAUGCCGCGUGUGUGAAGAAGGUCUUCGGAUUGUAAAGCACUUUAAGUUGGGAGGAAGGGCAGUAAGUUAAUACCUUGCUGUUUUGACGUUACCAACAGAAUAAGCACCGGCUAACUUCGUG
rnacentral:rRNA from 1 species